CUAGUAAGACCCCUGAAAGACUAUCAGGUUGAUAGGUUGGAGGUGUAAGUACAGUAAUGUAUUCAGCUGACCAAUACUAAUAGGUCGAGGGCUUGAUCAAAUAUUUAUUAU
rnacentral:rRNA from 5 species